rnacentral:tRNA from 1 species
UGGCUGAGUGGUUGAUAGCUCCGGUCUUGAAAACCGGUAUAGUUCUAGGAACUAUCGAGGGUUCGAAUCCCNU